rnacentral:rRNA from 1 species
CCUACGGGAGGCAGCAGUGAGGAAUAUUGGUCAAUGGGCGCGAGCCUGAACCAGCCAAGUCGCGUGAGGGAAGACGGUCCUAUGGAUUGUAAACCUCUUUUGUCGGGGAGCAAAAGACGCCACGCGUGGCGUUCCGAGAGUACCCGAAGAAAAAGCAUCGGCUAACUCCGUGCCAGCAGCCGCGGUAAUACGGAGGAUGCGAGCGUUAUCCGGAUUUAUUGGGUUUAAAGGGUGCGCAGGCGGACGAUCAAGUCAGCGGUAAAAUUGAGAGGCUCAACCUCGUCGAGCCGUUGAAACUGGUUGUCUUGAGUGAGCGAGAAGUAUGCGGAAUGCGUGGUGUAGCGGUGAAAUGCAUAGAUAUCACGCAGAACUCCGAUUGCGAAGGCAGCAUACCGGCGCUCAACUGACGCUCAUGCACGAAAGUGUGGGUAUCGAACAGGAUUAGAUACCCUGGUAGUC